rnacentral:misc_RNA from 1 species
UUUCCGUAGGUGAACCUGCGGAAGGAUCAUUAUCGUACAGCAUGUGAGGUGCAUGCGAGGUCUGUCGCUCUCCAACAGCUCGGGCACGCCCGACUGUGUCCUCUUGCAUACUAAUCCAUCUCACCCUUUGUGCAUCACCGCGUGGGCACCCUUCGGGAUCAUCUCGUCGGGUGGCUCACGAUUACACACAAACCCCCCGUUUCACAUUGCAGAAUGACCACUUUUAUGCAAUCCAUACAACUUUCAACAACGGCUCUCCUGCCGCUCGCAUCGAUCAAA